AGUGAACGCUGGCGGUAGGCCUAACACAUGCAAGUCGAACGGCAGCACAGUAAGAGCUUGCUCUUACGGGUGGCGAGUGGCGGACGGGUGAGGAAUACAUCGGAAUCUACUUUUUCGUGGGGGAUAACGUAGGGAAACUUACGCUAAUACCGCAUACGACCUACGGGUGAAAGCAGGGGAUCUUCGGACCUUGCGCGAUUGAAUGAGCCGGUGUCGGAUUAGCUAGUUGGCGGGGUAAAGGCCCACCAAGGCGACGAUCCGUAGCUGGUCUGAGAGGAUGAUCAGCCACACUGGAACUGAGACACGGUCCAGACUCCUACGGGAGGCAGCAGUGGGGAAUAUUGGACAAUGGGCGCAAGCCUGAUCCAGCCAUACCGCGUGGGUGAAGAAGGCCUUCGGGUUGUAAAGCCCUUUUGUUGGGAAAGAAAAGCAGCAGGUUAAUACCCCGCUGUUCUGACGGUACCCAAAGAAUAAGCACCGGCUAACUUCGU
rnacentral:rRNA from 1 species